UGAGCAGUCUGCCCUUCACAUCGGAAUAACCAUUGGAAACGAUGGCUAAUACCGAAUAUGACUUCGGAUCGCAUGAUCUGAAGUGGAAGGCUCCGGCGGUGAAGGAUGAGCUCGCGGCCUAUCAGCUUGUUGGUGAGGUAAUAGCUCACCAAGGCGAUGAUGGGUAGCCGGCCUGAGAGGGUGACCGGCCACACGUGGGACUGACGACCGAGGCCCAACGG
rnacentral:rRNA from 1 species